GACGAACGCUGGCGGCGUGCUUAACACAUGCAAGUCGAACGGAAAGGCCCUGCUUGCAGGGUACUCGAGUGGCGAACGGGUGAGUAACACGUGGGUGAUCUGCCCUGCACUUCGGGAUAAGCCUGGGAAACUGGGUCUAAUACCGGAUAGGAGCCAUUUUUAGUGUGAUGGUUGGAAAGUUUUUUCGGUGUAGGAUGAGCUCGCGGCCUAUCAGCUUGUUGGUGGGGUAAUGGCCUACCAAGGCGGCGACGGGUAGCCGGCCUGAGAGGGUGGACGGCCACCAUGGGACUGGGGUACGGCCCAGAGUCCUACGGGAGGCAGCAGGGGGGAAUAUUGCACAAUGGGCGCAAGGCUGAUGCAGCGACGCCGCGUGGGGGAUGACGGACUUAGGGUUGAAAACUGCUUUCGCUAGGGACGAAGCUUUUUGUGACGGUACCUAGAUAAGAAGCCCCGGCUAACUACGUG
rnacentral:rRNA from 1 species